UACGAAGGGGGCUAGCGUUGCUCGGAAUCACUGGGCGUAAAGGGUGCGUAGGCGGGUCUUUAAGUCAGGGGUGAAAUCCUGGAGCUCAACUCCAGAACUGCCUUUGAUACUGAGGAUCUUGAGUACGGGAGAGGUGAGUGGAACUGCGAGUGUAGAGGUGAAAUUCGUAGAUAUCGUUUGGAACGCCAAUGGUGAAAACAGGUAGCUGGGAGUGUGCCGACGCUGAGACACGAAAGCCAGGGGAGCGAACGGG
rnacentral:rRNA from 1 species